GCCCUGCUUCCCUUUGAGCAAGCGUCUGCCCUGCGGGGCUUCUGCCCUGUUCUGGCUUCGGUCCAUCCCUGGGCUGCACGGCCCUCCUGGGCCCUCUCUUGGGGCUCCUCACGAUCUUCCUGCACCUGCUCCCACUUCCAACUGCCGCUGGCUCUCUGCUCCGCUCCCUCGAUUUGCCGGGAGAAGCCUGCCUGACUGGCCACUGCAUGCCAGCGAGGGUGGGCCAGCUGGCCAUGGCUGCCCUUUGGCCGGUGUCCCACUUCCAGAGGAGUCAGGACCUGGGGUCACGGAGCAACCUCCAGAAGCUGUUUAUCAGAAGAAGCGAGGGACAUCAAACAAAGAUCACCCCGCCUGUAAGCAACAGAGCUGAGACUCAAGCCAGGCACUUUCUCCUUCCCUCUUAGUCACUGUGUGACACAAUUCGGGGUUCAGGCUUGGGCAUCGGGAGGAAUGAUGGAGCCGUUCACCACAGGAGACUCCACAGGAGGUCCCAUGAAGGUGGGUGGGAAGAAAGCUAGGAACAUGGCUUCCAACAGACAGAGGGAGG
ensembl:lncRNA